rnacentral:rRNA from 1 species
GAAGCUUGCUUCUGCGCUGACGAGUGGCGGACGGGUGAGUAACGCGUGGGAAUCUGCCUACUAGCGGGGGAUAGCCCGGAGAAAUCCGGAUUAAUACCGCAUACGCCCUACGGGGGAAAGCUGGGGAUCUUCGGACCUGGCACUAGUAGAUGAGCCCGCGUUAGAUUAGCUUGUUGGUGGGGUAAUGGCCCACCAAGGCGACGAUCUAUAGCUGGUCUGAGAGGACGAUCAGCCACACUGGGACUGAGACACGGCCCAGACUCCUACGGGAGGCAGCAGUGGGGAAUAUUGCACAAUGGGCGCAAGCCUGAUGCAGCAAUACCGCGUGUGUGAAGAAGGCCUGCGGGUUGUAAAGCACUUUCAAUUGUGAGGAAAAGCUUUUGGUUAAUAACCUUGAGUCUUGACGUUAGCAAUACAAGAAGCACCGGCUAACUCCGUGCCAGCAGCCGCGGUAAUACGGAGGGUGCAAGCGUUAAUCGGAAUUACUGGGCGUAAAGAGUACGUAGGUGGUUUAUUAAGUCAGAUGUGAAAGCCCCGGGCUUAACCUGGGAACUGCAUUUGAUACUGGUAAACUAGAGUAUGGUAGAGGGGGGUAGAAUUUCUAGUGUAGCGGUGAAAUGCGUAGAUAUUAGAAGGAAUACCAGUGGCGAAGGCGGCCCCCUGGACCAAUACUGACACUGAGGUACGAAAGCGUGGGUAGCGAACAGGAUUAGAUACCCUGGUAGUCCACGCCGUAAACGAUGUCAACUAGCCGUUGGGACCUUGAGGUCUCAGUGGUGCAGCUAACGCGUGAAGUUGACCGCCUGGGGAGUACGGCCGCAAGGCUAAAACUCAAAUGAAUUGACGGGGGCCCGCACAAGCGGUGGAGCAUGUGGUUUAAUUCGAUGCAACGCGAAGAACCUUACCUACCCUUGACAUCAUCAGAACUUGUUAGAGAUAACUCGGUGCCUUCGGGAACUGAAUGACAGGUGCUGCAUGGCAGUCGUCAGCUCGUGUCGUGAGAUGUUGGGUUAAGUCCCGCAACGAGCGCAACCCUUAUCCUUAGUUGCCAGCACGUAAUGGUGGGAACUCUAAGGAGACUGCCGGUGAUAAACCGGAGGAAGGUGGGGAUGACGUCAAGUCGUCAUGGCCCUUAUGGGUAGGGCUACACACGUGCUACAAUGGCCAGUACAGAGGGCAGCAAACUCGCGAGAGUAAGCAAAUCA